rnacentral:rRNA from 1 species
UAAAGCCCUUUCAGUGGGACGAUAGUGACGGUACCCACAGAAGAAGUCCGGCUAACUCCGUGCCAGCAGCCGCGGUAAUACGGAGGGGGCGAGCGUUGUUCGGAAUUAUUGGGCGUAAAGGGCGCGUAGGCGGUUAAUCAAGUCAGGAGUGAAAGCCCCAGGCUCAACCUGGGAAUGGCUUUUGAAACUGAAUAACUGGAGUCCGGCAGAGGGUGGUGGAAUUCCCCGUGUAGGGGUNAAAUUCGUAGAUAUGGGGAGGAAGACC